rnacentral:rRNA from 1 species
UACAGAGGGGGCAAGCGUUAUUCGGAAUUAUUGGGCGUAAAGGGCGCGUAGGCGGCUUGGCAAGUGGAUGGUGAAAUCCCUCGGCUUAACCGAGGAACUGCCGUCCAAACUGCUUCGCUUGAGACCGGGAGAGGUGAGUGGAAUUCCCAGUGUAGCGGUGAAAUGCGUAGAUAUUGGGAGGAACACCAGUGGCGAAGGCGGCUCACCGGACCGGUACUGACGCUGAUGCGCGAAAGCGUGGGGAGCAAACGGG